GCGGGAAGAGUAGGAGGUGGGGUUACCUCCUGAAGUGAUUGCUGAGGAGUCUCCUGGGGUGACAGGGAGACAGACGCUGUGAGGAGUCGUGUUCUGAGGUAAAAACGCGGAGAGUGAUGCUGCGGUGAGGUGAUGCCUAGGAGACAUGCUGAGGAGACAUGCGUUGCAGCAUUGGGAGACCAGCACCAGGAACAGUCCCACUGGUAGAGAGCUGGGGACCCACCGAGCACUGCCGCCACUUACAGGUACAACAUUGGCAAUUUACUGAACAUGGAAGAAUAAACAUAAAGAACAUAAACAUCUACAUAAAGAACCAUAACAAUGCCUACCAGGCCAUGGAACAAACAGUGUCAUUUACAAUUUUAGCCUCCGUAUCAUAAUCAUUUAUUACAUGUGAAGCAUUCAUUCAAUAUCCGAGCCACCAUUGGCUCACACAUAUAGCACCAGUAGUAUCUGCUCCUGUAGAAAACAGUAACAAUCAUUGUACUUACUGUACAGAACAGAGUGUAACAAUCUCUUGUCUUGUAGGAUGCAAUGAAAGAUCUGCGAUUCCAAUGGACUCUGAAGACUGGAUGCCGUGUAUAAUAUUUUCUGUUGAAAUAACAGAUGGUAUUAAUAACAAGCAGAGGUCAAUAAACAAGCUGUUGGCAGCACAAAGAGUUCAAACUAGGACAGUAUACUGGGAUCGGUAUGAAAUACCUUCAAUCAAAAUCCCGACAGUCAAAAUCCCAACAGCAAUUGACUGGCGGUCAAAAUCCCGACAAGGUCAAAAUCCCGACAUGGACAAAAUAUCGACAUUUAAAAUACCGACAAGGUCAAACUACCGACAUGUAAAAUGCCGACAGGUCAAAAUACCAUCAUGCGUUUUUCAUUGUUUUUUUGUGUGUAUGUUGACAUAGAUCGACAUGGACACCAUAUAAGUGUGCUGCAUUCGCCAUACUUCAGGCACACUAUUAUAUUCCCCGUCCAGGUCCACUGGGAUGGUAAAGUAUGAACAAGUUGGUUUCAAUGAAAAAAUCAUGGAAAACUCAUGUCGGCAUUUUGACCUGUCGGCAUUUUACAUGUCGGUAUUUUGACCUUGUAGGUAUUUUGACCUUGUCGGGAUGUUGAUCAUCGGUCAAUUGCUGUCGGGAUUUCGACCGUCGGGAUUUUGAUUGGAGGUAAAUUGACUGCAUUCCUUAAUACUAGGCACAAUCAGUGUCGGACUGGGGCAUGUAGGGCCCACCGGAGGAAUGCAGUUGUAGGGACCCAUGUUAAGGGGUGUGGCCAGUAUGCAGAGGGGGUGUGGCCUACCACCUCAUGCGUUUGACAAACCAUUAGAGAGUGCAACGUCUGGGCCCCUUCAUAAACAUAUACAGUAAAUUCAGCUGCUGCAUGCAUGAUAAUGUACCAGAUUAAUAACAGCAAUGCGCUGUCGAAAAUACACCAUAGUCCAGUAUAAAAUAACAUAUGUAUAAUAUAUAUGCACAGUCUGGAACCUGAUCCUUAGAGUAGGAGGUGGGCCUCCAGGCAGUGGGGCCCACCGGUGGUUUCCCCUGUACCCCUGUGGGCCAGUCCAAGCCUGGGCACAAUGAUCUGGCAUUGACUGAAUGACACAAAGUUCUUUAUACACACAUUUUAUAAAUUAAUAUAACAAUAGAUUCAUAUAAAAAAACACCCUUAUACCUAAUAAAGUGAAAUGUCUCUUGAUAUGAUACUUAAAUUAUAAACAAUAUCAAUGCAGUAAGAGACUGCUGCCCCUAUACCAUGGAAAACAGUGUGACUCUGGUGCUGGUGUAUCUGUGGAUGUCUCUGGUGUGUUUCCACACUGCACAUCUCCCAGGGCUAAGUGUACCUCACUACUGAUGAUGCUGAGUCAUACAUUACUCAGACACAUCUACACUUGUAGCUGAAGGAGGAUAACUUGGUAGGAGGACAUUCAGACAUAAGCUAAAUAAGUUUAGCAAGGUCUUGUCAAUGGUGCUGUGGACUAUGUAGAGACAUGCUUGGCAUGUCGACAUUGACCAUGUCAACAUUCAUCAUGUUGGCACUAAUGAAAUGUCAACAUGAUUAAAAUGGCAACAAAACAGUGUGUCAUCAUGGCAUAGCACUCACUGACCUGUUGGCUGAUAUCUGGCAGUGUUUUCUUGGUCAGGUGAUGGUGAUGGUCAGGUGAUGGUCUUCCAAUGCUCCCGGUGAUGAGUAAUGUUAAACCAAGUCUCUAAAAUUAACCCUAAACCUCCCCUCACUUUGCCUAACCCUAACCCACCACUCUCGCAGCGUUACCCUAAUGUCAGCAUUCUGCAGAAUGUCAACAUUUCACAUGUUGAAAUUGCAGAUGUUGACAUUGUGAAAAUGUUGACAUUUAGCAGAUGUGGACAUGUUCCGUGUCGACAUAUCAACAAUGUCAACAUCAUAAUUGUCAACAUUGUGGUGUCAACAUUAUGACUGUCAAUAUUGUUGUUGUCCACAUGGCAAAACAAUCUUAAUCCCAUUUAAAUGUCGACACAUUGGCACCAUCAACUAAUCAGCAGCUCUGUAUCAUUUUAUAGUAUGCAAAUUAUAGAUGUUACGUCACUGCUGAUUGGUUGUCAUGGGCCACUUCUCCACUGGCUCACAUCUCUGCUCUUAUCACUACUUAGUAAAUGUCCCCCUAAGUGGCCAAUGAGGAGUAGGCAUUCUGUGAUGUGUCUAUCUGCAGUAAUACUGCUAUUAGCACAGCCUGACUUUUGUGAAGCUGCUAACAGCACAGUCAGAAGUAGCUGCUGCUAGUGCAGCCUCCUUACAUGCUAACACUGCACAGCAUCUCUGUCCUGGCAUAACAUUGCUCCCCCUCUGAGUAGGAUGUUGGAGGACUCCCAAAUAUUAUUAUGGGCACAGCUUUCAGUCAUGUUCUUUGUCUGAAGAUAAGGACAAUACCAAUGGACUAAGUAGUAGACGUGGUUAUGGAUCUUCUUAGGAUUAAGAAUUUUGCCCCCCACAAGUGGCACUUGUAAUGGACGCAGCCCCAGCUGGCUCAUGAGGAGUACUUUUUGCCAGCCUGUUUCUGGAUUCAGUGCGUAAGUGUAAAGAGACAGGACAGAACUGUGUUAUCACUUAUACAGCAUGCUGCCUGGAUUCCAAAUAGAAAUGGACAUCACUUAUUAUUGUGAAACAUCAUCCCUCUUGUUAUAUGUGUUUGUGUUUAUCAGGGAAUAAUAUGUCUAGCUUGAUGUUCUGUACAGAAUGCAUAUGAAGAUGUAUAUAUAUGAAUAUAUUGGUUAUUGUGUUAUAGUUUGUAAAAUAAUGUUCCCCAAUGUGACUGCUCUGAUAACCUGUUUGUUUGCAGUUGGAGAUACAGCCAGUCUCAGCUGUCAGUCCAUACACCCCCCUCAUUCUUCCCCACACAAUGGAUUCCAGGCUACACAAUUAUAUUCAUUAAGUAAGGUUAAUUUAGUUAACAUCUAUUGUGGCCUAGAGGACAUGCCUGGACAUGUGAAAGUAGGUCUAUCUGAAAGUGUUCUGUAGUCAGCCCCUUUAAUGUAACCCACCCAAUACAGAGCCAGAAGGUGUCACCUUAUGGUAGGACAGACAAAUGUUUGAGGAUAACAAACAGGGGCAAUUGAGACAGAGAGAGUGGAGUUCUUGGCCUGAGAUGGAGGAUGUGUUUGGCUUCUGAAAGCUACUGGUAAGAUAGUGCUUCCAGUGUGCUGAGGCCUAGAAGCAUUGUUGGGAUCCGUUGGUUUCAAAAGGCUACUGGACGUGCACUGAGGGAGAGAUCUACACAGAAGGUCAGAGAGAGUGGAUAUACCUCUGGAGUGGAGACACUGACUAGGCAUUGCGGUGCCGUCAGUGGCAAAGGGCACUGUGUGAGCUGGUAUCCCAGACCAGGGGACACAGAACUACUGCUGGCAUGUGACAUCAGGAGACUGUAAUUAUAAACUACUGUCGGGACUUAGUAAGUAAGAUACCAUCCUGGCAUGUAAUAGUUACUGUUUUGUGUACUGUGUGUGUAUUUUUACAAUAAAGGGCAUUUGCCACUUUAUUAAACUGUU